rnacentral:lncRNA from 1 species
ACACUAAACCUUCAUGGAACACGAGCAACUAGGAAAUGAGACUUAAUCAAACCCCAACAAUAUAAUACUUUGCCGCUUCCCCUUGUUCUGAAAUCUUUCUCACAACCCAAAGCGGUCAUUUUCAUAACAUGGGACCAGAGCUUUUUCUUCUUCUUUGAAACAACAACAAUGGCGAAGACGAGGAAGAAGGAAGAGGAAUUAGGAAACAGCAUUACUGAAGAGCUUCUUCUUAACAAUGGCGGGUCAGAAGUCAAAGCACAGAGUACUUCUUCGCCUUUCACUGCAACCCUUCUGCUCAGCCUCUUCUCCGUUGCUUGUGGGUGCCCUUCUGCUCAGCCUCUUCUCCGUUGCUUGUGGCUGCUGCUCAACUGGCUGCACUGUGAGUUCUUCAAAUUUCAUCUCAGCUGGUUUCAAAAUAGCUUCCUUUGUCUGUUUUAAGUGUGAAAACGAUCGGUUGAUCGGGUUAUGAGUCGCGGGACUCGGAUAAAGGAGGAAUAAGGAAAGAAUAACAGUGGAAUAAAACUGGCGAUUAACGUGGUUCCCGAUUUUGAGGUCGACUAGUCUACGGAGAGAAAGGGGAAUAUUAUUAGGGAUUUUUGGCGGGAGUGACGGCUUAAUUACAGAGAAAAAGACUAACGCUCCACAUAAGGGUUUCGAUUAACAUAUAAUCAUAACGGGUCUAACCCGAUGGUCAUCAAGAUUGAGUAUGAAUUGAUCAGGUUAUAGGUGAAUGAGGUCAUGGUUUGCAGGUGUUUUUAAGAGUUUUCAGUCGGGUAGGUUACGGGUUGGGUUACUCAGGUUGCAAGUAUACGGUCAAUUAGUUUGAGUAUGAAUUGACCGGGUUAUAGAUCAACCGGAUCAUGGUUUGUAGGUUUUGAAGAGUUUUGGAUUAGACGAGUACAUAUGGUUUGUUGGGUUUUUCUCGAUUCAAGGUUGUGGAUUGAGCUGGAUUAGAAUGAGGUUAUGUUAAUCCGGGUCGGGUCAUUAAUUGAUCGGGUGACAUGUUAAAUCGAGUUGGGUUGGAAUGAGAGUGGAGUAAGUCAGCUUCAGGUUUGUGCAGGUGGGUUACUCUUCUCCUGUUGAGUACCAAAUCCUUCAAGAACUUGGUCUCUCUG